UACGGCGAGUGAAGCGGCAACAGCUCAAAUUUGAAAUCUGGCAGCCUCCGGGCGGUCCGAGUUGUAAUUUGAAGAGGAUGCUUUUGGCGAGGCGCCUUCCGAGUGCCCUGGAACGGGACGCCACAGAGGGUGAGAGCCCCGUAUGGUUGGACGCCGAGCCUCUGUAAAGCUCCUUCGACGAGUCGAGUAGUUUGGGAAUGCUGCUCAAAAUGGGAGGUAAACCCCUUCUAAAGCUAAAUACUGGCCAGAGACCGAUAGCGCACAAGUAGAGUGAUCGAAAGAUGAAAAGCACUUUGAAAAGAGAGUUAAAUAGCACGUGAAAUUGUUGAAAGGGAAGCGCUUGCGACCAGACUUGUGCCCGUCGAAUCAGCCGCCGCUCGUCGGCGGCGCACUUCGGCGGGCUCAGGCCAGCAUCAGUUCGCUGCAGGGGGAGAAAGGCGGUGGGAAUGUGGCUCUUCGGAGUGUUAUAGCCCGCCGCGCAAUACCCCUCGGCGGACUGAGGACCGCGCAUCUGCAAGGAUGCU
rnacentral:rRNA from 1 species